GCAUAUCAAUAAGCGGAGGAAAAGAAACCCAACAGGGAUUGCCCCAGUAACGGCGAGUGAAGCGGCAACAGCUCAAAUUUGAAAUCUGGCGCAAGCCCGAGUUGUAAUUUGCAGAGGAUGCUUUUGGUGCGGUGCCUUCUGAGUUCCCUGGAACGGGACGCCGGAGAGGGUGAGAGCCCCGUACAGUUGGACACCAAGCCUUUGUAAAGCUCCUUCGACGAGUCGAGUAGUUUGGGAAUGCUGCUCAAAAUGGGAGGUAAAUGCCUUCUAAAGCUAAAUACCGGCCAGAGACCGAUAGCGCACAAGUAGAGUGAUCGAAAGAUGAAAAGCACUUUGAAAAGAGGGUUAAAAAGUACGUGAAAUUGUUGAAAGGGAAGGGCUCGUGACCAGACUUGCGCCCGUCGGAUCAUCCGGCCUUCUGGCCGGUGCACUCCGGCGGGCUCAGGCCAGCAUCGGUUCUUCUGGGGGGACAAAAGCGGCGGGAACGUAGCUCCUCCGGGAGUGUUAUAGCCCGCCGCAGAAUACCCCCGGGGGGACCGAGGACCGCGCUUCGGCAAGGAUGCUGGCGUAAUGGUCACCAGCCACCCGUCUUGAAACACGGACCAAGGAGUCAAGCAUUAGGGCGAGUGUUUGGGUGUCAAACCCGCACGCGAAAUGAAAGUGAACGCAGGUGAGAGCUUCGGCGCAUCAUCGACCGAUCCUGAUGUUUUCGGAUGGAUUUGAGUAAGAGCCUUACCGCUUGGACCCGAAAGAUGGUGAACUAUGCUUGGGAUAGGGUGAAGCCAGAGGAAACUCUGGUGGAGGCUCGCAGCGGUUUCUGACGUGCAAAUCGAUCGUCAAAUCUGAGCAUGGGGGCGAAGACUAAUCGAAACCAUCUAGUAGCUGGGUACGCGAG
rnacentral:rRNA from 1 species